GACGAACGCUGGCGGCGUGCUUAACACAUGCAAGUCGAACGAAGAGCGACGGAAGCUUACUUCUAUCAAUCUUAGUGGCGAACGGGUGAGUAACGCGUAAUCAACCUGCCCUUCAGAGGGGGACAACAGUUGGAAACGACUGCUAAUACCGCAUACGAUCUAAUCUCGGCAUCGAGGAUAGAUGAAAGGUGGCCUCUACAUGUAAGCUAUCACUGAAGGAGGGGAUUGCGUCUGAUUAGCUAGUUGGAGGGGUAACGGCCCACCAAGGCGAUGAUCAGUAGCCGGUCUGAGAGGAUGAACGGCCACAUUGGGACUGAGACACGGCCCAGACUCCUACGGGAGGCAGCAGUGGGGAAUCUUCCGCAAUGGACGAAAGUCUGACGGAGCAACGCCGCGUGAGUGAUGACGGCCUUCGGGUUGUAAAGCUCUGUUAAUCGGGACGAAAGGCCUUCUUUGCGAAUAGUGAGAAGGAUUGACGGUACCGGAAUAGAAAGCC
rnacentral:rRNA from 1 species